UGGUGGAGUGAUUUGUCUGGUUAAUUCCGUUAACGAACGAGACCUCGGCCUACUAAAUAGUACGCCAGUUAUGGUAACAUAGGGCGAGACUUCUUAGAGGGACACGUCGGGUUUACCGGCGGGAAGUUCGAGGCAAUAACA
rnacentral:rRNA from 1 species